rnacentral:misc_RNA from 1 species
UUUCCGUAGGUGAACCUGCGGAAGGAUCAUUCAUAAUAAAGUGUUUUAUGGCACUUUUUAAAAAUCCAUAUCCACCUUGUGUGCAAUGUUAGAUCUCGUCAAUCUUGGCGAGAUAUUUAUACAUCAACUCAUUUUUUAACUAAUUUGUCUGAAAAAUAUUAUGAAUACUUAAUUCAAAAUACAACUUUCAACAACGGAUCUCUUGGCUCUC